CACGCCGUCCGUCCUUGCCGCCGACGUCGCAGCGGACAACCUCAUCUCGGCGCUCUACUUCAUGGCGCUCUUCUCACUGGCGUCAAACAUCCCAGCAGAGCCCAAGACGGCGACGGCGAGUCCGCAGAAGGACGGCGAGCGGCUGUCGGUGCUGAACGGUGGCGCGGCGAUCGCUUUGUCCUUCAUCAUCUGCAAGGCCGCGCGGCUGGGGCUCCAGGGCGGCACGCUGCCCUGCAUCACGGCGCUGGCCGUGUUCCUGGCACUGAGGCCAACAGAUCAGCCGUUCUGAUGGCUCCAGCAUGUGUGUCCUCCCGUUUGCUCUCAGAGCAGGCACCCUCAUGUUUUUCUUCGGAACAGUGCCCAACGCCAUCACCGGGGAUUGGAAUAGGAACCACAUUUGCUUGUGGCUGCCCUGCAUCUUUGAGCAAUGCAGUAGGUUCCUCGUUCUCUGGGAGCAGCAUAUCAUCUUCUAGUGGCAUAGUCUCUUCUCCCGUGUUGUCACAUCUUUGGUCAUCGCAACCAGCAUUACCAGCUUGGCUAUCUGUCUCGGGAACUUGCUCGGUAUCUGUAACCUCUCUCUCAGGAGCUGUAGAAACCGGAUUGCCAUGAAAACCUGACUUCAAUCUCCCCUCUG
rnacentral:misc_RNA from 1 species